UGGCUCAGAACGAACGCUGGCGGCGCGCCUAACACAUGCAAGUCGCACGAGAAAGUGGGGCAAUCCAUGAGUAAAGUGGCGUACGGGUGAGUAACACGUGGAUCAUCUACCUCUUAGUGGGGAAUAACCCUGGGAAACCGGGGCUAAUACCGCAUAAUCUCGAGAGAGGAAAGCAGUAAUGCGCUGAGAGAGGAGUCCGCGGCCGAUUAGCUUGUUGGCAGGGUAUAAAGCCUACCAAGGCGGAGAUCGGUAGCCGGCCUGAGAGGGCACACGGCCACACUGGC
rnacentral:rRNA from 1 species